rnacentral:rRNA from 1 species
UGGGGAAUAUUGCGCAAUGGGCGAAAGCCUGACGCAGCGACGCCGCGUGAGGGACGAAGGUCUUCGGAUCGUAAACCUCUGUCAGGAGGGAAGAAGUUUCACGGUGCUAAUCAGCCGUGAAUUGACGGUACCUCCAGAGGAAGCACCGGCUAACUCCGUGCCAGCAGCCGCGGUAAUACGGAGGGUGCAAGCGUUAAUCGGAAUUACUGGGCGUAAAGCGCUCGUAGGCUGUUAUGUAAGUCAGGGGUGAAAUCCCACGGCUCAACCGUGGAACUGCCUUUGAUACUGCGUGACUAGAGUCCGGGAGAGGAUGGCGGAAUUCCAGGUGUAGGAGUGAAAUCCGUAGAUAUCUGGAGGAACAUCAGUGGCGAAGGCGGCCAUCUGGACCGGAACUGACGCUGAGGAGCGAAAGCGUGGGGA